rnacentral:lncRNA from 1 species
UUGGUGAGCUGAAUGGAGUGUCUUGGUUCGGCCUAGAAGCUUGGAAAAGCUUUGAUGAAGACUCAUUGGUGAGCUGAACAGCUUGCAUGCUUUUAAUGAAGUUUUGGGGAUCUCCAACAGCCCCAUGGUGUGAACAAAGAAUAGGAGCAGCCAUGUGUGUGAACUCAUGAAACCGAAUGGCCAAAAGAUAGAAAAAUUUGUUCAGCUGUUGGUGGCGUCUUCCAAGGUGAUUGAUGAACUGAAUUGAGCUGCUUUGGAAAGUGAAAGGAAGCUCCCAAAAGACCCUUGCUGUUCACGAAGGGGUGCAUGGAGGAGAGUAAUCAGCAGCAGCCAAAUUGAAUGCCGUCUAUGUCAAAUUCCUGCACCAAAUUAAAACAGCCUUUAAUUCUUGUUUUAGGACAAAAUAAAUUCAUGCAAUAUGUCAACAUAAUUUCGGCAGCUACUUAAGGCAUUUUUUUAUGCAUGAACUAAGACAUAUUAAUUAUCUAUAUUAAUUUCAGUUGGCCUAAGACACAUUAAAAACUUGUAUUAAAUUAAGACAACUUUACAGCACAUUAAUACUCGAAUUUAAAAUGUCCAGAAUUUAGACCAAUUAAUUUAUUAAACAAAAACUUAACUAAUUAACUAACUUAAUUAAUAACUUUAUUCAGCAACUAAAAUGCAAUAAUUAAAUAAACUGCAAUCUAGCUCUAUGAGCUAACUAAAUGACAAUUUGAGCUCCUUUGAGCUAGCACAAGCUAAGUCAGCUUGUAGAAAAUUGCAUAUCGAGCUACUUGAGCUGGCCACUUGAUGUUCAGCCAUUCCAUCGAUCCAAACUCGAGCAAUGUAGCUACCCACAACUUCUUGAAACCUCUUGGCACGAGCUCGAGUGAUUGGCCCCAAUGGCAGCUCUAUAGGUUCGUCAUUAGGCUUGAUGGGCGAGCUCACAUCAACAGGUCGAAUCAUGUCUGAUCUUUCGAUGAAAUCUUUCCAUAUUAGUAAGCAAGCUUUACUUAAGAAUAAGCAAAAUAAAGAACCUAACUUUUUAGAGACCUUGGAAUUUCUAGGGAAUCUGUCAUACCGCCUCCUUCGAGUUCCAUAAUUUUUCUCAAAUCUUCCCAUAAGCAGUUUUGAUGGAGAAAGAACCUGUCGAAGUGCCACCUCAAAUGAUCCUAUCACCCCUUGCAUCUGGAUGGGGAGGAGGAUUUGUGACAAUCCUUCGGAUCAUCUCUUUUGAUAGCCAAAUCCGGAAGAGGUCAAGAUUCCAUACACCAUCACAUGUAACCAUCUCACUGAGAAGGUAGUCCAUAUCAAGAUUGGGAUGCCCUGGAAUUACACUAGCCAGAGAUCCUAUAGAAUCCAUGGAUCUCGCCAACAUCUAAUACUGUUUCCAUCCCUUAUUGACCAAAGUAGAUUUUCCAGAAUAAGAGGCCAAGCCUUAGUGAGAGCUUUCCAUAAGAAAAAACCCCUUCCACUCGAUAACGUAUCAGGAAAUCCAAGCGGAAUUCUAUAUUUAGCCCGAAGAACCCGAACCCAAAGAGCUAUAGAGUCAGACACAAGGCUAAACCCAACAUUAUCAUAAAAGAAGUAAUAUGAUCUUGUAACUUCUUAAGGCCGAGUCUACCAUGAUCCCGGGGUUGGUAGAGAUUUCCCAAGUAACCAAAGCCAAAUUUUUUUCACCAAUUGAAUAGCCCCAAGUAAACUGUCUAACCAUAUGUUCAAUUUCCUUGCAAAGCCCUUUAAGGGUCAUCAUAGAUUACAUGAAGUAGCUAAGGAUUGACAACAAUACUAACUAAGUCAGGGUGGCUCUUCCUCCUAUUGUUAACUUCUUAACAUCCCAGCUAUAAAGUUUGCUUCAAACCUUUUCAACUACAAACCUCAAGGUGCUAUUUGUAACUCUAUCAUUAAAUAGAGGCACAACCAAAUAGGUCCCAAGAUUCUAAACACAGUGGAAUCUGAGUAGAUUACAAACCUGCUCCCUUAACUCAUCAUUAAAACCUUUAGAAAAGAAGAUAUUAGAUUUGUACGCAGUUAUCCUAUGUCCAGAAUAGCCACAAAAUCCAUUCAAUACACCUUUUAGGAUCCUGGCUUGACUUUCAUUGGCUUGACAAAAGAGAAAUAAAUCGUCAGUAAAGAAUAAAUACGAAAGAAGUGGACCUAGUCGAGACAGAUGAAUAAGAAUUGAUUGCCUAGAGUUGAUAGUCAAGUGGAUGCUAUGUCUGAGCCACUCCAUACACAACACAAAGAGAUAAAGGGAUAAAGGACACCCUUUGCCGAACAACUCUUACGAGAUAGAAUUUCUGAGACAGGAUUUCAUUCCACAAGUUUUGCAUGGUAGAAUUGGUGAUAGCUAACAUAAUAACAUGACAGAGAGUGUUAGGAAUACCUUUAGCCUGGAGAGAUACGUCAAUGAAAUCCCACUUCACCCGAUCAUAAGCCUUUUCAAGAUCUAUCUUGAUCGCCAACCAUUUCCAAUUCUUUUGUAUGAUUUUCAUAGAGUGUAUCACUUCCUGAGCGAUUAUAAUAUUAUUUGUGAUAUUUCUCCCAACAAUAAAUCCAGACUGAUAUUGCCUAAUGAUCUUCGAGAAGACCACUUUAAACUAAUUUACAAUUAUCUUCAUAACCAAUUUAUAUAGAACUGAACUCAAGCUUAUAGGCCCGAACUGUGAAAUAUUUUCAGGAUUUUGAACUUUAGGAAUAAAGACAAUAAGGAUGUUGUUCAAUUCAGGAUCAAUGCACUCCAUUGAAAAAACAUUUUUAACCCAAGAACAGACGACAUCACCGUCUCGGUCCCACUGACUCUGAAAGAAAAGGGCAUGAAACCCAUCACUACCCAGGGCCUUUAAUGGGUCCAUAUAAAAAAAAGCAAUCUUUAUUUCCUCAGUAGAGACCGAUUUACACAAGAGUUGGAAAUCUCCCUCUGCAAUCUGGGAAAACGAACUAAGAGGCAAGGCUCACAUCGAUUUCGGUUUCUCACCAUACAAAUUCUGAAAGAACCUAAUCGCUUCAUUUUGUAAUUCUUCCUCAUCAAAAAUCCAUUCUCCCAGCCCAUUCUUCAAGGCCAUGAUCCAACUUUGCUUUCUCCUUUGAAGUGUACACUGAUGAUAAGAUUUUGUAUUUAUGUCUCUUAGAAGAAGCCAGUCAUAUCUCACCUUCUGUUUCUAAAGAAGUUCCUUAUGAUGAAGCACAUUUUCAACGUCCUCCUGGACAUUAAUUUCCAACUAAAAUAAAGAAUCCGAUUGAGAAUAACCCAUACCUUUCUGAAAAUUAGAGAGUUUCUGAAUCAUCAUUUUUUUACGUGUCCUGAUAUGUCCACACAUUUUUAUUCCUCUUGAGUUGAUUCAUGAAGUGAGCAAAAGAAUCCGAAAAAUACCCAUUAAAGCUCUACUUUUCCAUGAAAAACUUCGAGAAAUCUGGAUGUUCUAACCAACCAGCUAAAAAAUGAAAAGGACGACCUUUAGAUAAGCGAAACGAUGGUUUGAGAGAAACCAAGAGAGGUCUAUGGUUAGAUUUGAGUAUUGGAAGAUGAGUCACAAACCAAUUUCGGAAAGAGUCAGUCCACUCAUCAUUGCCAAUAGCUCUAUCUAAGUGCUCAAACACACCACCUCUAUUCCAUGUAAAAGUAGGGCCUCUAAACCCCAAAUCAUGCUAUUUAGUCGGUUCCAUAAAAUCACCAAAAAAGGGGCAUAUUUUCCAAAUAAUUUGCCCACCUCUUUUUUCACUAGAAGAAAUAAGUGCAUUAAAGUCCCCUACUGCCAACCAAUGAGACUUGUUACUUGGAAUAGUCAUCUUGAAGCCUUCCCAAAGGUGUUUUUGUUUUCGACUAUAAUGACUACUAUAAACGAAAAAAACAAAGGUCGAUCUAGAGAAUUAUCAAAAACCUGUAACAAAACAAAUUGAGGAUGGCUCCGAAGGACUUUGACACAAAUUAACUCAUUCCAUCUAAUCCAAAUACCCCUAGAAAAACCAAAUGCCUCCACACAAUGAGAGAAUUGAAAAUCGAGAUUAGCGAUGAUCAAAUCAGCUUUAACACCACUAACUCUAGUCUCUAAAAGACCCACAAUAUAAAGCUUGUGCUAUUGAUUAUUCUCACAAAAAUACGUGAAAAUUUGCUACUGGCGCACCCUUGAAAAUUUCAUGAAAAUAUAGAAAAACACAUUAUUUGAAAAUAAUAAUAAUAAAAAAGCCAAAGAAUGACCUUUAUUUCUUGGGCAAAUGAUUUUCUUCAUGACUUUCCCAUCACUAUUCAACACCUCCUUACCAGUCCCAUUUUCAAUCUGUG